rnacentral:lncRNA from 13 species
GCAUGCUGCAGUGACUGCUGCCAGGAACCUCUGCCACAUAGGUUAUACCACCCUUGAACAAUUCUUCCACAGCAAAUGCAGUGAAAACAGUGGCCAAUGCUCAAAACCAGGUUGUAUGAGAGGUGGAAUGGGCUAAGACACCAGGCGAGAGCUGAUAGUGCUUUGGACUGCAGUAGUGGAAGCAAUGGAGAAAAGUGGAUACAUUUAAGAUGUAUUUUAAAGAUAGUCAAUAGAACUUGCUGAUGGAUUGGAAGUACAGUAGUAAAUAAAAGAAAAAGAGGGAUUAAGACUGGCUGUCUG